rnacentral:rRNA from 1 species
CUGCCAGCAGCCGCGGUAAUACGUAAGUGGCAAGCCUUAUCCCGAAUUAUUGUGCGUACAGCGCGCGCACGUGGUUUCUUAAGUCUGAUGUGAAAGCCCACGGCUCAGCCGUGGAGGGUCAUUGGAAACUGGGAGACUUGAGUGCAGAAGAGGAAAGUGGAAUUCCAUGUGUAGCGGUGAAAUGCGUAGAGAUAUGGAGGAACACCAGUGGCGAAGGCGACUUUCUGGUCUGCAACUGACACUGAGGCGCGAAAGCGUGGGGAGCAAACAGGAUUAGAUACCCUGGUAGUCC